UUGCAUCAUGAUUUACAUUUGAGUGAGUGGCGAACUGGUGAGUAACACGUGGGAAACCUGCCCAGAAGCGGGGGAUAACACCUGGAAACAGAUGCUAAUACCGCAUAACAACUUGGACCGCAUGGUCCGAGUUUGAAAGAUGGCUUCGGCUAUCACUUUUGGAUGGUCCCGCGGCGUAUUAGCUAGAUGGUGRGGUAACGGCUCACCAUGGCAAUGAUACGUAGCCGACCUGAGAGGGUAAUCGGCCACAUUGGGACUGAGACACGGCCCAAACUCCUACGGGAGGCAGCAGUAGGGAAUCUUCCACAAUGGACGAAAGUCUGAUGGAGCAACGCCGCGUGAGUGAAGAAGGGUUUCGGCUCGUAAAACUCUGUUGUUAAAGAAGAACAUAUCUGAGAGUAACUGUUCAGGUAUUGACGGUAUUUAACCAGAAAGCCACGGCUAACUACGUGCCAGCAGCCGCGGUAAUACGUAGGUGGCAAGCGUUGUCCGGAUUUAUUGGGCGUAAAGCGAGCGCAGGCGGUUUUUUAAGUCUGAUGUGAAAGCCUUCGGCUCAACCGAAGAAGUGCAUCGGAAACUGGGAAACUUGAGUGCAGAAGAGGACAGUGGAACUCCAUGUGUAGCGGUGAAAUGCGUAGAUAUAUGGAAGAACACCAGUGGCGAAGGCGGCUGUCUGGUCUGUAACUGACGCUGAGGCUCGAAAGUAUGGGUAGCAAACAGGAUUAGAUACCCUGGUAGUCCAUACCGUAAACGAUGAAUGCUAAGUGUUGGAGGGUUUCCGCCCUUCAGUGCUGCAGCUAACGCAUUAAGCAUUCCGCCUGGGGAGUACGGCCGCAAGGCUGAAACUCAAAGGAAUUGACGGGGGCCCGCACAAGCGGUGGAGCAUGUGGUUUAAUUCGAAGCUACGCGAAGAACCUUACCAGGUCUUGACAUACUAUGCAAAUCUAAGAGAUUAGACGUUCCCUUCGGGGACAUGGAUACAGGUGGUGCAUGGUUGUCGUCAGCUCGUGUCGUGAGAUGUUGGGUUAAGUCCCGCAACGAGCGCAACCCUUAUUAUCAGUUGCCAGCAUUAAGUUGGGCMCUCUGGUGAGACUGCCGGUGACAAACCGGAGGAAGGUGGGGAUGACGUCAAAUCAUCAUGCCCCUUA
rnacentral:rRNA from 1 species